GAUGCAGUGUCUCUCACUUUCAACCAGUAAAAGGGAAAAUUGGAAAAUGAUUUGAACAAAGGCAAAUCAACCUUGCCCCUUCCAGGAGCAAUGAUUGAAUCAAGAGUAUGGCUGCUAUGCUUCUGUUAAAACCUCUGAAUCAGUUAAGGGAAAUGUGUCUCUACAACGGCCUGAUUAUCCGCUUAGGCAAUGGAAUCCAGGAGCACAGGCCACAGAAGCACAGUAGCUGACCCACAGCCACUGACAUGAAAACUUCCUAUGUAAGCUGUCUCAUUUUCUUUGAAGCCAUUUGCCUGUAUUACAAUAUUAUGUGGAAGAAAUAUUUGAAGGAUUUAGACAAAUAUGCCAGAAGCACAUCAGCAGGGUCACCAAGAUGACAAUGAAGCCCCCACCCACCAUCCCAAAGGCAGUUUCACAGCAAAAGUGUGCAGAUCUGAUCGGUUUUGAAAGCCUUAAAAAGUUUCAAAGCGUUCAUCCGUUUUGAGGACUUCCUUUGGACAGAUGGAGGUAAGUAGAACAUUUCCUAUCUCUGCAUUGUUCAACCUACCUGCUUUCAUUUAUCACAGUCUGCUGGAGAGGCUCUAUCGUUAUAUACACAUCUUGUCACUGUU
rnacentral:lncRNA from 13 species